GCACUGAUUGGGGACUGCGUGCCUUGGGAGGCCAGAGAAAGGGCACGGCUGGGCCAGGCAGAGAUGUGGAACAAAUAAGGACUUGCCAAAUUUCAGGUCUUCAAAAACAGUGACUUUGAGGAAAGGCCCCUUCCACAGGAAGUCCUCCGGGACGGAUGCCACCCUCUGGCUGCUUAGGCAUCACCUUUGGGCUCCCACCUCUCUCCCCCAGAGCCUCCAUCAUGGUGUUUGCCAAUCCACUUCUUCAGGGUCCCUUCACCUGCCUUCCUUAACUGGGAGCUCCUCGAGGGCAGGACCUUGAGGUUUCCUCCCUGAAGCCCCAGAUCUGGCACAUCUCCGGGCCCAUAGGAAGCCAAUACCUUGCUGUGCCCGCGACGUGGCCAACAGUUGUUGAAUGAACAAAUAAAUGAAUGGAUUGAUCCUCCAGCAUUGCUGUCAGGCAGAUGGAAGGGCCUCGUCUUCGAAGAAGGGGAACAGAAGUUCUAAGAGUUGAGGCGACCCACCAAGGACGCAGAGAGGCCAGUCAGCUGUUGACUUUGGGUGAGAAAGUUCCAAGGACAUCUGCGGGGUGAUAAAUCCUGGGGCUGCCUUGUUUCUAACCAACUACGGAGAGCACGGCUCCGUGACCCUCGAGAUGCCUCCUGGCUUGAGAAAAGCCAGAGGAGGCCCAGGGGCCUGCCACCGGCCAAGGGGGCAAGAAAAGGGCUGUUUCUCAGAAAAUAGUGGCGCCCAAAUCCCCGUUCACCUUAUUUAAUGCUCUGAAUUUUCUGAGCGGCCUAAUUGAAAAUUCCUCUGUGGAACCCUCUAGGUGGAACAAUUAACCGGCCUCUUAGCAGCGAGCAGCGCCCUGGGCAGGCCCCAGAUUUAUGUCUCUUGGGGAGGCAGCCUAUUAGCUGUGGCCAUAAAUCUCGGAGCCCUGGCUGGCAAGGUGGAUUUUAAUAAAAUCAUAGGGGACAGAGCCAGGCUGGGGCGGCAGAUUUCCGGGGGGAGAGCCAACAUUUGCUGGUCAUUAAUCGAGACGCCUUUGAGCUCUGGGGAAAUGCCCAGGAUUUUAAUGAAAAAUCGGGAGCUGGAAGCAGUGACCAGUUGGCAACCCAGCCAGUAUCCCUGCUGAGAGAGGGAUCAAGGAACUGAGGUUGGGGCGGGGGGGACAGGCCACCCCUGCCAAAGCAUCUUGAAGCUGGGUUGAUAUUCAGUGGAUACAGGGGAAAUUAUUCUGGUGGUUUAACUCUGAGAAUACUCUCAUACCCGUUGGCGAAUGGCUUCUCCAAGCCCCUAAGGGGCUCUACUUUCCAGGGACCCUUGUCCCAGAAUCUUUGCACCUCCCUGUGAGUCAACACAAGAGGGGACAUGGCUGGCCUGGCAAGGGCCUUCCCGAUCCUGAUUCAGGCCUUUGCUCCUCUUGUCACCGCUCGGAGCCUUCCUUUGAACUUGGCUGACCCUUGAACCAAACUCUCCGGUGUUGGAGCACCCCAGGGGCCCAACCCAGAGCCUCCUUUCAUCUCUCCUCUCUGCCCUCUUCUGCACGCCUGUACCUCCACCCCGCACCCCUCCACUGAGCUCGAGACCCACAUACCCAUCGGCUCCCUUAUACGCCUAAUGGGCAUCUCCCAGCUGACGUGUCCAAAACCGGUUUGUCCACAUCCCCUCCUGAUGGCCCCUCCGUCCUCAUCUUGACAAGCAGAGCUACCUUCUCUCCGAGAGAGCACAGGCCAAAAAGCAGGAGGGUCCUUGACUCCUCCCCUCCAUUUCUUCGCCCCUCGAUAGGUAGCCUGACCCCCCUCCAAAGCUCGUGUCAUUUUCUGGUCCUGCUCCAGUCCAAGCCCCUCGUCUCAGUGAGCACAAGCUGCCACAAUGAACUGCUGUAGACUGGGGGCAUUAAACAACAGACAUGGGAGUUCCCAUCGUGGCUCCGGGGUAACCAACCCAACUAGCAUCCGUGAGGACGCAGGUUCGUUCCCUGGCCUCGCUCAGGGGGUUAAGGAUCCAGCAUUGUGAUCUGUGCUCUAGGUCACAGCCACGGCUUAUAUCUGGUGUUGCUUAGGCUGGCAGCUGCAGCUCUGAUUCGACUCCUACCCUGGGAAGCUCCAUAUGCCAUGCGCAUAGCCCUAAAGAGACACACACACCGAAACAAACAAACAAACAAACAAGCAAGCAAAACAGAUAUCUAUUGCUCCUGGCUCUGGAGGCUGGGAAAUCCAAGAUCAAGGUGCUGGUGGAUUUGGUUUCUGGUGAGAGCGCUUCCUGGCUUGCAGAAGGUUCCCUUCUCACCAGUGGUGAGGUGGAUUUCUGGUGUCUCUUCCUCUUCCUAGAAGGACACUAAUCCCAUCAUGGGGCCCCACCCUCAUGCCCUCCCCAAACCCCACCUCCUAAUCCCAUCACAUUGUGGGUAGGGCUUUAACAUAUGAAUGGGGGGAACACAAAUAUUCAGCCCAGAGCACCCCCGUGGGCUCCUGCCCAGAGGACUGUGUCAGCCCCUGCGUGUGUGUCCCUGCUUCCAUUCUUGCCUGUUUUCUCUAUGGAGCAGCCCACCGAGCUUUUAAAAAUCUAAGUAAUGGCUUCCCAUUGUGGCUCAGCGGGUUAAGAACCUGACUAGUAGCCAUGGAGAGGCAGGUUCGAUCCCAGGCCUCGCUCAAUGGGUUAAGGAUCUGGUGUUGCUGUGAGCUGUGGUGUAGGUCGCAGAUGUGGCUCGGAUCUGGCAUUGCGGUGGCUGUGGCUGCUGCUCUGAUUUGAUCCCUGGCCUGGGACCUUUCACAUGCCACAGGUGCGGUUCUAAAAAGAAAA
rnacentral:lncRNA from 9 species